GCAUGAGAGCUGAAUGCACUAUUUUCAAGAAAUGGAGUUAAAAUAGCUACAAAAGGCAAACUGAAAUAUAACUUCCUGCUUUUUUUGGUCACAUGGUAAGUUUAAAUAUUUAAAUUUGAUCCAAGAAUUCUUUUC
rnacentral:lncRNA from 1 species